rnacentral:rRNA from 1 species
GACGAACGCUGGCGGCGUGCCUAAUACAUGCAAGUAGAACGCUGAAGAGAGGAGCUUGCUCUUCUUGGAUGAGUUGCGAACGGGUGAGUAACGCGUAGGUAACCUGCCUUGUAGCGGGGGAUAACUAUUGGAAACGAUAGCUAAUACCGCAUAACAAUGGAUGACACAUGUCAUUUAUUUGAAAGGGGCAAUUGCUCCACUACAAGAUGGACCUGCGUUGUAUUAGCUAGUAGGUGAGGUAAUGGCUCACCUAGGCGACGAUACAUAGCCGACCUGAGAGGUGGAUCGCCCACCCGGGAAUGGGAAACGGCCCAAACCCCCUCCGGAGGGAACCGUAGGGGAACUUCCGCAAAGGGGGCAACCCUGACCGAGCAACGCCGCGUGAGUGAAGAAGGUUUUCGGAUCGUAAAGCUCUGUUGUAAGUCAAGAACGGGUGUGAGAGUGGAAAGUUCACACUGUGACGGUAGCUUACCAGAAGGGGACGGCUAACUACGUG